rnacentral:lncRNA from 1 species
GCAAUGCUGGGGUCCCCUCCUGACACGGCUGAUGACUGUUUCUCCCGUGCUGACCUUUGGCUGGUGCAGCCGCCUGCUGGGCUGGCGCCGCCGGUGUGGGAUGUAGUGUGUUUGGCUGCGCUGUCUGCCCUUGACUCGGGCCGGCAGCAGGUGAUUAUGACUGGCUUGCGUGUGCGUCGGGCUCUGACGUCGGCGGAAGUCAUGCGCAUCAGUGUGCUUGGGCUUAGCUUCGACUCGCUGUGCAGCUGCCGAGACACGCAUUACGCGAAGACCUGUUGCACGGUUGUGGAAGGUCGGUAGCCAACUGGGGGGAGGGUGGUUUCCUUUCGGGCCGGAGAUGGUCCCUCUUGACCUGGGUGCACGGGCACCCUUGCUUGGUCGGAUUGUCCCUUCUUUGUAAUAUCGCAACCAUAAGGUAGCAUAAGGUUGUCCCUUCUUUGUAAUAUCGCAACCAUAAGGUAGCAGUUUCAGUGGCUUCUGUGUGUGCAGGUUGUGGGUGGCCCUAGUGGCCGCCCUUGACCCGGCGCAAAGACUCCAAGGCGCAUUGGUGGCCUCGCAUCUCUGGGCCUCUCCUUCGCGGGUGCCGGCGUCUUCGGAGCCCAGAGACCCUCGUCCCAGAGAUUGACGGGGGAGCUUCGCUGGCACUGGUGCUGCGGCGUUGUAGGGGCCGGCUGGCCGCAUUUCGGUUUGUGAUGGCCCCCUUCGAAUCAGGAGCUGGCGUCGACAAGGAGCAUGAGGCCUUCGUCCAGAGAUAACGUUGGCGCUCCGUUGUUGCUGGUGACUGUGUUGUUGGGUGUUGGCAUGCCGGGCAUGUGGUUCUUGCGUCGGCUUCUGGUGUUGCCUGCCGUUUGUGAGCCUUCGGGCUGAUUUCAGACUCCAGACCGUGCCUUCGGCACAGACACACAGGCGGUUUGGGGCGUUGCCCCGUGUUGAGCCUUCGGGCUGGGACCAGAAUGUGCCUCGGCACGCUCGCGAAUUUGGGGCACUGCCCUGCAGAUGUGCCUUCGGGCUGGGACAUGCUGUGCCACCUGGCACCAGAUACGAGCAGUGCUUUGCGUUUGAUUAGGCGUCGCCGGACUACAUGCCCGGUGCACCUGGUUUAGCGUCGGGUGCUGUAGACAGCGCUUCAUGCGCAGACACGGGUUGCCGCAGGAUGUGGGGCUUUGGCGGGCUUAGGCUUGGCUUCGACUCAUGAGUGUUGCACCCGAGACACGCUUUAUGCGAAGACCUAUUGCACGGUUGUCGAAGGUCGGUAGCCAACUGGGGGGAGGGUGGUUUCCCUUCGGGCCGGAGAUGGUCCCUCUUGACCUGGGUGCGGGGCACCCUUGCUUGGUCGGACUGUCCCUUCUUUGUAAUGUCGCAAUCAUAAGGUGCUUGGUCGGAUUGUCCCUUCUUUGUAAUAUCGCAACCAUAAGGUGGCGGCGGCAGUGGCGGCGGCGGCGACGGCAGCUGCGGCGGCCGCGGCCAUGACAAUGGGGAUGGUCUCGGCGCAGGUGGCGGCGGCACGCCGCCGGUGGUGGCGGCCGGCCCUGCCGGUGCGCCCCGCGCCCCCGCCCCCACCGUGGUGAUCUCGGCUGCCCCGCCGGGGGCUCCGCAGUAGUGCGCCGUCCUCGGCAGCAAGCGGCCGGCCCCCGGCCGCUGCGGGUAGGGUCGCACAACGUGCGGGGGUUGCGGAGCCGGGUCCAGCAUCUGGGCUGCCCGCGCCUGCACGCCCUACUCCGCUGUUGGGAGCGGCAGCAACUGGACGUGGUCUGCCUGCAGGAGACCCACGUCCGGGCAGAAGACAUUGACCUCGUGACCGCUGACCUGCGUGCUGCUGCACUGCGGCUGCACGUGCGUGAGUGGACAGCCUGGUGGGCCCCCGCCCCCACGCCCCAUCAGCGUGUCUCCGGCGGCACUGCCAUCCUUAUUCGCACUUGUCUGCUGGAGCAAGGUGCCGUCACGUUCCCGGGUGGCGUGGCGGCCCCCUCCGUUGCUGACGGCGCGUGGCGGCCCCCUCCGUUGCUGACGGCGCCCGGCUUUGGCGUCCCAAUAUGCGGAUGAUUGUACGCCGUUUCUCGCGGGCAUGCAGGCUGUGCCGGGGUUCCUGGCGGACAUGGACGUUUUUCGGUGUGCGUCGGGGCAGCGGCUUAACAUGUCUAAAGUGGAGCUACUGGUGUUGGGCACCUCCGCGGGUUUGGGGGUGGCGCCAGCAGCUGUGGCUGGGCCCCCCCUGCCUCCGGGUUGGCGUGUGGUCAACACCGCACAGUCGCUCGGGGUGCACUUUGGUGAUUGGAAGACGGCCACCCCGCCAGUGGCUUUUGACGGGGUGGUGGGGGUGCUUGGCUUGAUUGUGCGUAUGCCUGUUUCGAUGUUUGGGCGAGCGGCGGCGGCCUCGGCAUAUGCCCUUAGCAAGGUCCUGUACCAUCUGGAGUUUGCGGGGUUCCCGUCGCCGUGGGCGCCGGUUGGCAAGUUGUUAGGCCAGGUGGCGGCGGUUGUUGAUCGGCGGCUGUCGCCGGCUAAGUAUGCGGUCGCACCCCAUGCUCGUCCGGUGGGGGUAUCCCUUGACAUCAUGCAGGUGCCGCCGGCUCUGGGUGGUGUAGGGCUGCUGCCUCUUCAGCUGCACGUGCAGGCGCGGCAAGCUGGACUGGCGGUGCGGUGUGUGCUGGGCGCGUGUGGGUUGCUGGCGUUUGUGCCGCCAUGGACGAAGGUGGCGGAGGCUUGGCUGCGGGCACGCCAUCCAGCGGCCACGCCCCUGCGCCUGUUGGUGCGGUGCGACCCGUCCCGUGUUUUGGACAAGUUGGUUACGCCUGAAUGCAAACCGUUUUUGCGUCUGUUGGGGGCGGUCGCCCACUUGCCGCCUAUCACGUUGGUGGCGCCGCCCGCGGCUGGGGACUGGGUGUAUCAUGUGCCGUUGUGGGCGAAUCCGGCACUGUGUGAUGGUGCACAGACUUUUGACGUGGCGUUUGCCGAUUUAUUUGCCCUGCCGGGCCUUGUGUAUGUGGGACAGUUGGUGACCAGUUAGAGGCCGUGCGUGCUGCCCACACCCGCCCGGGUGGGUGGGGCACCAGGUUUGGUGAGGCGAUGUUGGACUUGUACUUGACGAGCGUGUGGCGGCCUGUGCUUGGAUGGGGACCUCGGCGGCACCUGCCGUCGCCGCUCCUGGGGCCGGCGUCGCCCCUGGCGGCGGCGGAACGCAUAGCCGCGGCGGUGGCCUUGCUCCCAGGUGGCUGGGAGGCCGCGGCGCGUGCGGCUCGACUGGCUCGCGGGCGGGCGUGGGUCAUGCCGCUUCCUGCGGAUGCCGUGCGACAGGCGGCGGCGGGGGCCUUGACCCAGGUGGUGCGGGGACUGGGCUGGGUCCUGGACGGGGGCCCGCCUCUGCUGCUGUUGAACUACUCCGUGCAGGCAGGAACGGCCAUGCAACUGGGCCCCCAGGUUGCGGCGCUGCGGUCUAAACAUUUGUUGUAUGUGCGUGAUGCUGGUGUGUCUGCGGACGGCGCGCUUGCGGCUGCCGGCGCCUUUGCCGGCACUCUGGCCCGUUUGUGGGCGUUAAAAUGGGAAAAUUAUCACAAGGAAGCUAGCGUUGUGGCGGGUGGCGGCCAAUGCGUGCUGGUCGUUCCCCAAAAAUGCCGCCCAGCGUGCAGCUGGGGUGGCAAUGCCCCUGUGCCGGGCGUGUGGGCGGGAUAUGUGUGAUGGGGACCGCCGGCACUACUUUUGGGACUGUGUUGUUGCUCGGGCGCUGCGGGAGAACAUGGCUGUGGCAAUGAUGGGGUCCCCUCCUGACACGGCUGAUGACUGUUUCUCCCGUGCUAACCUUUGGCUGGUGCAGCCGCCUGCUGGGCUGGCGCCGCCGGUGUGGGAUGUAGUGUGUUUGGCUGCGCUGUCUGCCCUUGACUUGGGCCGGCAGCAGGUGAUUAUGACUGGCUUGCGUGUGCGUCGGGCUCUGACGUCGGCGGAAGUCAUGCGCAUCAGUGUGUCCGUUAUUGCUGAUUUCUGGGGCCGGCUGCAAUCGUAUGUCAGUCUCGGCAAAACCUGGGGCACGGUGCCUGCGCACCAUCCGUUCCUCUCGCGGGGUGCGGGUGACUGUGUGCUGCUAGUGUUGCCUGAUGAUGUGGGCUCCCCGCCCCCCUCGCCUUAAUUUGCUCGUGGGUGGUGGGGGCGGUGUGCCUCUGGUGUGUGCGCUGUGGGUGUGGGGCGUCGACGUGGGCGUCGCCGGACUACGUGCCCGGUGUACCUGCGUUGACGCCUCGCCGGUUUGAUUGCGCCUCGUGCGCUAGUGCGGUUUGCUGUACGUUGGUGGGGCUCUGGCGGGCUUUGGCUUAGCUUCGACUCGCUGUGCAGUUGCCGAGACACGCUUCACGCGACGACCUGUUGCACGGUUGUGGAAGGUCGGUAGCCAACUGGGGGGAGGGUGGUUUCCUUUCGGGCCGGAGAUGGUCCCUCUUGACCUGGGUGCUGGGCACCCUUGCUUGGUCGGAUUGUCCCUUCUUUGUAAUAUCGCAACCAUAAGGUGCAGUGGGGCGGGCAUGACUUCACGCUGGCGGCAGCCUACUAUCCGUUGGCAAGUCCUGAGCAACGUGCCUUCACCCAGCAAUGGGUGGCGUCGGCGGUUGGCGGUGAGGGCAAUCACCUGCUAGCUGCUGACUUCAACUUUGUUAGCGACGUGGCGCUGGACACGGCCAGCGGUGUCCCGCGGCCGGGUGACCCCGCCGCAGCGACAGCGCUGGCGGCUGCGUGCCCUGGUCUGAUCGACGUCCUCCGAGUGCGCCGGCCUGGCCAGCGUGUUUGUACUUACAUUCAUUCGCACGGCGCGUCGCGCCUUGACCGCAUUCUCUGCAGUGGCCGCCUCGUGGCCCAGGUCCUGGCCUGCGCCGUGGAGGCGGGUGUCCCGUCCGACCACCGCCUGGUGACGCUGACGCUGGCAGCGGCGCCGGAGGCCCUGCCACCUUCUCCAGGCCUGCCCAAAGCUCGCCUGGGGUUCCUCGACUUCAAGGACCUGACAAAGGAUUACCGGACGUGGCUGACUGCGGCGCUUGGAGCCCGGCCGGGUGCCCCAGCUGAGCUGCUGGCGUGGUGGCCGCAGCUCAAACGGGCAGCGGCCGCGUCAGCUACCCGGCUGAGCCGCGUGGCGGCCGUCCGCCGCAUUGCAGCCAGUGAGGAAGAAGCGCGUGCGCUCGCGGCUGCUGCUGCCGCCGCGGCCGCAGUGGAGGUCGGUGCGGCGCUGCCCGAGGCCGCAGCGGCGGCGGUGCGCGCGCGGUGUGCCGCCGCCACCGCCGCGGUGCAGGCUGCCGCGGGGGCGGCGCGCCGCACGCGUCACGAGUGGUUACGGGGUGGGGAAAAGCCAUGCCCGGUGCUGACCCGCAUGCUGCGCCCGUCAGGUGGGCCGCGUACCAUAGCCCGGCUCAAACGCCCCGAUGGCAGCGCUACCUCGGACCCAACCGUGAUGGGCCAGGUCAUGGCAACCUACUGGCAAGACGUCUGUGCGGCGCCGCCGCCUGCCCCAGCCGCCCGCGCGCAAGUGCUGGCCGCGCUGCAGCAACACGGCCGCCGCUGCACGACGGAGGAAGCCGCGCAACUCGGGCAACUUGCCGUCACCGCCGCGGAGGUGCGCGCUGCGUUGGCCGCCGCGCCGGCGGGGCGCGCCGCGGGCCCUGACGGCAUUCCCGUGGAGUUGUAUCAGUACUAUGAAAGUGACUUCUCACCUGUGCUAGCUGAUGUGUUUACUGCUGUUGGCGAGGGGGCAGGGGUCCCUGGUGGGUUUCUGGAUGGUGUGUGGACAUUUUUCUACAAGGCUGGGGAUCCCCUGGAGCCCUCUAACUAUCGCCCCAUUACCCUCACGGAUACUGAUUAUCGCACCCUUGCACGUGUGCUGUGUCGGCGCUUGCAACCUGUGUUUGGGCGCGUCAUCGACCCUGAGCAAACUGCCUUCCUGUCUGACCGCCGCAUUGCUGAUAAUGUACUGCUGCUGCAACUGACUCCUGGGUUGCUGAAAGCGGCGGGACAGAAUUCUGGUGUGGCGGCCUUCCUAGACUUUUACAAGGCGUAUGAUACGGUGGACCGGUCGUUUCUCCUCGCCUGCCUUGAACGUAUGGGCGUGGGGGCCGGCUUCUUGACGUGGGUGUCGCGGCUGCUGACUGACACGCGUGGGGCGGCGCUGGUUAAUGGACGUGUGUCUGGUUGGGUGCCGCUGGCGGCAGGAGUCCGGCAAGGGUGCCCGCUGGCCCCGCUGCUGUACCUCGCCAUUGCGCAAGCCCUGUUGUCGUGGCUGCGCAGUAAGGGGCAUGGCGUGCUUGCUGGUCUGGCCUCGGCUUUGGCGUCCCAGUAUGCGGAUGAUUGUACGCCGUUUCUCGCGGGCAUGCAGGCUGUGCCGGGGUUCCUGGCGGACAUGGACGUUUUUCGGUGUGCGUCGGGGCAGCGGCUUAACAUGUCUAAAGUGGAGCUACUGGUGUUGGGCACCUCCGCGGGUUUGGGGGUGGCGCCAGCAGCUGUGGCUGGGCCCCCCCUGCCUCCGGGUUGGCGUGUGGUCGAAACCGCAAAGUCGCUGGGGGUGCACUUUGGUGAUUGGAAGACGGCCACCCCGCCUGUGGCUCUUGACGGGGUGGUGGGGGUGCUUGGCCUGAUUGUGCGUAUGCCUGUUUCUAUGUUUGGGCGAGCGGCGGCGGCCUCGGCGUAUGCCCUGAGCAAGGUCCUGUACCAUCUGGAGUUUGCGGGGUUCCCGUCGCCGUGGGCGCCGGUUGGCAAGUUGUUAGGCCAGGUGGCGGCGGUUGUUGAUCGGCGGCUGUCGCCGGCUAAGUAUGCGGUUGCACCCCAUGCUCGUCCGGUGGGGGUGUCCCUUGACAUCAUGCAGGUGCCGCCGGCUCUGGGUGGUGUAGGACUGCUGCCUCUUCAGCUGCACGUGCAGGCGCGGCAAGCUGGACUGGCGGUGCGGUGUGUGCUGGGCGCGUGUGGUUUGCUGGCGUUUGUGCCGCCGUGGACGAAGGUGGCGGAGGCUUGGCUGCGGGCACGCCAUCCAGCGGCCACGCCACUGCGCCUGUUGGUGCGGUGCGACCCGUCACGUGUUUUGGACAAGUUGGUUACGCCUGAGUGCAAACCGUUUUUGCGUCUGUUGGGGGCGGUCGCCCACUUGCCGCCUGUCACGUUGGUGGCGCCGCCCGCGGCUGGGGACUGGGUGUAUCAUGUGCCGUUGUGGGCGAAUCCGGCAUUGUGUGAUGGUGCACAGACUUUUGACGUGGCGUUUGCCGAUUUAUUUGCCCUGCCGGGCCUUGUGUAUGUGGGACAGUUGGUGGCGGCGCAUGACCAGUUAGAGGCCGUGCGUGCUGCCCACACCCGCCCGGGUGGGUGGGGCACCAGGUUUGGUGAGGCGAUGUUGGACUUGUACUUGACGAGCGUGUGGCGGCCUGUGCUUGGAUGGGGACCUCGGCGGCACCUGCCGUCGCCGCUCCUGGGGCCGGCGUCGCCCCUGGCGGCGGCGGAACGCAUAGCCGCGGCGGUGGCCUUGCUCCCAGGUGGCUGGGAGGCCGCGGCGCGUGCGGCUCGACUGGCUCGCGGGCGGGCCUGGUUCAUGCCGCUUCCUGCGGAUGCCGUGCGACAGGCGGCGGCGGGGGCCUUGACCCAGGUGGUGCGGGGACUGGGCUGGGUCCUGGACGGGGGCCCGCCUCUGCUGCUGUUGAACUACUCCGUGAAGGCAGGAACGGCCAUGCAACUGGGCCCCCAGGUUGCGGCGCUGCGGUCUAAACAUUUGUUGUAUGUGCGUGAUGCUGGUGUUUCUGCGGACGGCGCGCUUGCGGCUGCCGGCGCCUUUGCCGGCACUCUGGCCCGUUUGUGGGCGUUAAAAUGGGAAAAUUAUCACAAGGAAGCGUUGUGGCGGGUGGCGGCCAAUGCGUGCUGGUCGUUCCCCAAAAAUGCCGCCCAGCGUGCAGCUGGGGUGGCAAUGCCCCUGUGCCGGGCGUGUGGGCGGGAUAUGUGUGAUGGGGACCGCCGGCACUACUUUUGGGACUGUGUUGUUGCUCGGGCGCUGCGGGAGAACAUGGCUAUGGCAAUGCUGGGGUCCCCUCCUGACACGGCUGAUGACUGUUUCUCCCGUGCUGACCUUUGGCUGGUGCAGCCGCCUGCUGGGCUGGCGCCGCCGGUAUGGGAUGUAGUGUGUUUGGCUGCGCUGUCUGCCCUUGACUCGGGCCGGCAGCAGGUGAUUAUGACUGGCUUGCGUGUGCGUCGGGCUCUGACGUCGGCGGAAGUCCUGCGCGUCAGUGUGUCCGUUAUUGCUGAUUUCUGGGGCCGGCUGCAAUCGUAUGUCAGUCUCGGCCUCCGCCCGAAAGCCUGGGCCACGGUGCCUGCGCACCAUCCGUUCCUCUCGCGGGGUGCGGGUGACUGUGUGCUGCUAGUGUUGC